GCCUGAUCCAGCCAUGCCGCGUGCAGGAUGACGGUCCUAUGGAUUGUAAACUGCUUUUGUACGAGAAGAAACACUCCUUCGUGAAGGAGCUUGACGGUAUCGUAAGAAUAAGGAUCGGCUAACUCCGUGCCAGCAGCCGCGGUAAUACGGAGGAUCCAAGCGUUAUCCGGAAUCAUUGGGUUUAAAGGGUCCGUAGGCGGUCUAGUAAGUCAGUGGUGAAAGCCCAUCGCUCAACGGUGGAACGGCCAUUGAUACUGCUGGACUUGAAUUAUUGGGAAGUAACUAGAAUAUGUAGUGUAGCGGUGAAAUGCUUAGAGAUUACAUGGAAUACCAAUUGCGAAGGCAGGUUACUACCAAUUGAUUGACGCUGAUGGACGAAAGCGUGGGUAGCGAACAGGAUUAGAUACCCUGGUAGUCCACGCCGUAAACGAUGGAUACUAGCUGUUGGGCGCAAGCUCAGUGGCUAAGCGAAAGUGAUAAGUAUCCCACCUGGGGAGUACGUUCGCAAGAAUGAAACUCAAAGGAAUUGACGGGGGCCCGCACAAGCGGUGGAGCAUGUGGUUUAAUUCGAUGAUACGCGAGGAACCUUACCAAGGCUUAAAUGUAGAUUGACCGUUUUGGAAACAGAACUUUCGC
rnacentral:rRNA from 1 species